UCUGCGCUGAACUAGGUUGAAUAUUUCGUUAAUGAAAACUACAACUCCCUUCAGCCCACUGUCCCACAAAGUUCUUGACUUGAUUUCUCUUGUGAAUGAUUUGAUUUCUCUCUAGAGAAACGACGCGUUGGGAUCACAAAAAUAACGAACUAAAUGGAAUUCAAGUCAUUGAACCGACAUCGGUCAAUUAGUUGUUGAAUAACCCGAGAAAAAAAACGAAAUUUCGGUUAAUCGCUCAGCACUUCCCCUCUCUCCAUCGCUCACUCCAGUACUUAAUUCUAGCCGGAUCCUACCGGAACAGGAUCUGGCACCUCUCCGUCUUGGACAGUUUCGUUUUGGCCUGAUCCGGUACCUCUACCUCCGCGCAAAGGGUUGAAAUACAUUUGCCAAAGUUAUAGUUACUGCUGUCUGUUCAGAAAUAAAUGAAAUAAUUCAGAAUAGCCUUCUACGCCGUAAAUAUCUUAUUUAAAAAAUAGCCUAGCUGUGAAGUGUAGCCCAAUGAUAAGGUAUAGCCGACAGCCGGGAACGUGCAACAAAUCUGUCCGCGAACAAACAGUUUGCAGACAAAUUUGGCCUUUCCCAAUAUUUCAAAUCGUCUACAAUCGUGGGAAAACACAGGUUGGAAAACAAAUGGCUCCUGCUGAAAAGAUAAUUCACUAAUCUGUCAGCUGUAGGCUACCAAAAUAUUUGAUCAACUUGUCUUCCAAAAAUUGUUUUAUAAAGUAUAACGAGAGAAAGUGGGAGAGGCUUUUGACACUAGCACAUAGCCUUUUUAGGACUAUAAUGUACUCCUCAUUUUGUAACAUACAAUUGUCUCCACACACCUAGGCAAUUGAUGGAUUCAAAGUCGUUUUCAUUAAUCUCCGAUUCUCAGUUUGUCGGUGUCUAAAUUGCCUGUCAUUUCGAUCAUUUUGUGCUUUCAAGACAACUUGGAACUCUAAAAAAAGUAAGCUGAAUCAUGAUGUCAGUGAUCUUCAGGUCGGAAAGUCAGAGCUCUAGAAGAGGCCAGAGUUCCCCACGUGGAAUUUCAAAUUGGAUGACAUUCAAAAACACAUUUUCCCGGUCAGCUCGUUUUUUCCCCAAUUUAACAGUUCUCUUGAACACACUAAAGUCAGAAGUCGUAGAUUUCCCAGCUCUGAGUUCACAGUUGUUUUGAACGCAGCAUUAAAAAAGAUUGUGCCAAAAUCUCUAAUCGUAAAAUGACGUAGAAUUGCAUUAAAUGCGUUUAUAAAAAGGCCAACAAUUUUUGGGACCCUAGGCCACAAACCUUUUUUCCCAUGUGGGCAACUUCUGUAAAUGCCUCUACUUACUGCUCUAUGCCACUACGCAAAUGUGAUGAUAUGCAUGCAAUGCUUUCUUAUAAAGGUUAUAUUUUUUUCUCAUGCAUUCCAGUUACUCAGAGCUCCCCAGGUCACCCCCCCUCUCGUGCUCACUUGUUCCGGCAACUCCUGAUUUACAAAUUAAGCACUGCCUAGCUCUUUUUUCUCCCUCAGUCAGUCAUUUUGCAGUAAUUCAACAGUCAACAACUUCACAGUUAACAACGUCUAGCCCAGGGGUGUCAAAUUCGAUUCCCAAGUGUCUGCGGGUUUUAGUUUUUCCUUUCAAUAAAGACCUAGACAACCAGGUGAGGGAGUUCCUAACUAAUUAGUGACCUUAAUUAAUCUAUCAAGUACAAGGGUGGAGGGAUAACCUGCAGACACUUGGCCCUCUGUGGAAUGAGUUUAACACGUGAUCUAACCCUUACCGAGCUCUCUCUCUCUGUGGCUUGUAUUCUUUCCCCUGGCUUCCUAAAGAUCAUCAAGGACAUCAACCACCCGAGCCACUGCCUGUUCACCCCGCUGUCAUCCAGAAGGCGAGCAGUGCACUCUUAAUCCCACGCCAGAGUCCAUGCCCUUGUGGAGCAGAGAGCAUACGCUGGCGACCGUCAACCCAGCUCCAGUAGAUGAGGUAGCAGCAUAUCGCUUAGGGGCCCUGGCAUGGGUCACAUCCUGCCAUGGCCCUACCGCAGCCCUCAGGGAGGGACCAUCCCAGUCAACUCCCCCCUCCACUAUCACUGCAUUUCAUGUAGGACCUGAGCCCUAGGACCAUGCCCCAGGAUUACCUGACAUGAUGACUCCUUGU